rnacentral:rRNA from 1 species
GGRUUCAGCGGGGGKCGGUUUGUAAUGCUUAGGAUCUCCUUGUAKUKGGGGAAACGUGUGGAAAGGACGUUUUUACCGSUACGUCCUAGGGAGAAAGCAGGGGACCUUCGGCCCUGGGCUAUCAGAUGAGCCUAGGUGGGAUAGCUGGUYGGRGAGGAAUGGCUCUCCAAGGCGACGAUCCGUAACUGGSCUGAGAGGAUGUUCAGSCSCACUGGAACUGAGACACGGUCCAMACUKCUACGGGAGGCAGCAGUGGGGAAUAUUGKACAAU